CCGUGUCGUGAGAUGUUGGGUUAAGUCCCGCAACGAGCGCAACCCUUAUCAUUAGUUGCUACGCAAGGGCACUCUAAUGAGACUGCCGGUGACAAACCGGAGGAAGGUGGGGAUGACGUCAAGUCCUCAUGGCCCUUAUGGGUAGGGCUUCACACGUCAUACAAUGGUCGGUACAGAGGGUUGCCAAGCCGCGAGGCGGGGCCAAUCCCACAAAGCCGAUCGUAGUCCGGAUUGUUCUCUGCAACUCGAGAGCAUGAAGUCGGAAUCGCUAGUAAUCGCAGGUCAGCAUACUGCGGUGAAUACGUUCCCGGGUCUU
rnacentral:rRNA from 1 species